rnacentral:rRNA from 1 species
UACGAAGGGUGCAAGCGUUACUCGGAAUUACUGGGCGUAAAGCGUGCGUAGGUGGUUUGUUAAGUCUGAUGUGAAAGCCCUGGGCUCAACCUGGGAAUUGCAUUGGAUACUGGCAGGCUAGAGUGCGGUAGAGGAUGGCGGAAUUCCCGGCGUAGCAGUGAAAUGCGUAGAGAUCGGGAGGAACAUCUGUGGCGAAGGCGGCCAUCUGGACCAGCACUGACACUGAGGCACGAAAGCGUGGGGAGCAAACAGG